CCACUCCCGACACAUGUUCCGUUUAAAAUCCGUGACGUCGACGUGGCCACGCGCUAAGCCACAAUCCCUCCAUCCCCGCCGCAAUUAACAAACACUAAUUAAAUCCUCCCUCCCUUAGCCCAAAAGCCAAUCCCGUCGCAUCACCUCUCGUUUUUCCUACCUCCACUUGGAAUUGGGGCACUGGUUCUAGACCCGUCGGUUCGAUCCUUCUAGACCCUUCGCCGCCCCCGUUAUAAAGCCGGCGCCGUCCGCACAUCAACGCUCGCACACAGUCCGCUGCUCAUUGGCUGGAGAGGGUGGGAUUCGCGGAGGAUUCGAGGAGUGUUGAGGAAAAGGAGGCUAUGAGCAGCAAUAGGAUUUUAGGAACUAUACCGACCUGCUCGCCCAUGUGUUGGUGAAAUUUUUUGACUUGAGGGAGUGAAGUCAUGAGUGAACAGUAUCCGUGACUUUACUCCCUCCAACCUGUCGGAUUGGAAAUAAACUAGCUAGAUUGAUCCCACGGUUUUUGAUACAGUACUGUUCUACAGGACAGUCCCUAAAGUAUUUCCAUGCGCAAUAUUAUUUGCUACAGUAUAAUCACUACAGUAAGGUACGGUUCAGUCACCGCAAAAAAUACUGUUCACAGAUGAUUUUCCUUCCUCAUGUCAGAGGAUCGUAAGUUACUAAAUUAGGUAACUGGCACCAGACGUAUCAUUGUACAUGGCACUUAGUGCACAAAUUGAGAACUAAGUUACGUGAUUGUAUCUUCUAUUUAUUAUGAAUUAAAUCUUAAAUUUGUUUAAUUAUAUGUCUCAUAAGACAAAAAAAAUUUAAUAACUGAUAUAUUCGUUGACAGCGAGAUGUUUAUAUUGAUUUUAUUAAUUUUUAUGUUCUAUACAUCUGAUCUUCCAUAAACAUGAAUGUGUACGUGGGUCGUGGGGUAGUACGAGUGAAUACGUAACUCCACGUGUUGGGUUAGGUUUUUUAAAAAAAGCACAAAUUCAAAAGCCACAUACAAGUUCUAGAACUUUCGAGGUUCCCAGGCCACUUAGCUCUUUAGCCGUAACGAGGAGCGGAGGGGACCACCAUAUAAAAAGCACAAACCUGAUUGGACCAUGCCCUACCCUCCCCACGCUCCACUCCCGACACAUGUUCCGUUUAAAAUCCGUGACGUCGACGUGGCCGUGCGCUGAGCCGCAACCCCUCCUCCCCGCCGCAAUUAACAACCAGUAAUUAAAUCCUCCCUCCCUUAGCCCAAAAGCCAAUCCCGUCGCAUCACCUCUCGUUUUUCCUACCUCCACUUGGAAUUGGGGCUCUGGUUCUAGACCCGUCGGUCCGAUCCUUCUAGACCCUUCGCCGCCCCCGUUAUAAAGCUGGCGCCGCCCGCACAUCAGCGCUCGCACACAGUCCGCUUUUCAUUGGCUGGAGAGGGUGGGAUUCGCGGAGGAUUCGAGUCAUGGGAUUAUUGCAUGCGGCGGCACCAAGCAUGAGGCAGGAACUGCAUUACUUGCAAGAAGUCACAAAAUCAAUUGGAAGAUCAUACUUGUGGCUUUCUUGCAAGUUGUGCAGUUGUUGCCUCAAGCUUGCUGCCUCCCUUUGCCAGAGCUAUCAGUAAAACAAGAAGUAUUGUCAGUUUCUGAGCUACAAAAAUUAAUUUUAGAAAAAUAAUCUCAAAAUGUAUGCCGUAGUAUACUAAUACAUUGCGUAAAAUGAAUCAAUACUCAACAACAGCACAUGCUUCAGAUUUGGGGAUAACAUACCUAUUUCAUUUACAUGCAAAUAUUUGGACCUAUAAUGCUCUGAUUUAGUAUAAUUACCGUAACAACAUAUGCAUUUCCAUGUAAUCUUAGUUGACUAAAUGGGUUUGUAGUUGAUCAAUAUGUUGGAACAAUAUCAGUAGGGUAAUAUUAUAUUAUUACAUUUACAGUCUCCAAUGUGAUUUCAGGGCAAAUUCAGUUUGAUCUUUCUGUUUUUCCAAAUAACAUUUUUUUUAGAUGCAUUCUCAAUGCGCUUAUGUAAUAGUGAGUUCUGUGCCUAUUGCGAUAUUUUCUUUUACAUUUGGUAUCCUGUUAGUGUAUGGUUUCAUCAUCUUUGAAGCACAAUAUUGCCAGACAAAAAUAUUCUUCUGUGGAGCAUGACUAAAUCCAAGAGCAGUAUAUGUACCAUACUUCAUAGCCUUCACGACCAUGUAACCUGUAGAUGAUGAUUUGGCCUUUCUUGAUAUUUACAGAAGAAAAAUUGUCAUUAAACGGUCCUGAAUGGAAGGACUAAACAUGACAUCAGUAUCAUACUUAUUAAUGUCAGUUACAUUUUUUAUGGUCCUGAGUAUUCCAGCUUUUAAUAUUUUACUGCCCUUUUUCUUGUGCUAGUGACAGUGUCAGUUGAAUUCCAUACAAAUCUUUUACUGUAUAACUUAAAGGGACACCUUGCCUUCUGCUUUUAACUUGCCAGCUGCCACAGCAGGUGUGAAUACUAUGCCGAGCUCUAAAGUACAGAUGUUAAUGUUGAGGGAAUUAUUACUAUGACGAGCUCUAUGGUACAGAUGUUAAUGUUAAGGUAGUCAACAGAUUCAGUAAUAUUCGGCAUGUAAUCUUUGGUUUGUGCUAUGGUAUCUAUUUCAGAGUAAAAGGGUGCAGUGCAACUGCACGGUAAGAGGCUAGAACCGAUUUAUAGGCUUGUUCUUACUAAAGUAAAACACCUUGUACCUGGAUUUUGCUUCAGUGCACUCAUUUUAUCUAACUUCGUACUGUAUAAUAUGCCUCCUCAGGAUGAACUUUGGAUGAGUUGGAAUGACUUUGGCCUCGUCUUCAAACUAAGGUGAUGGUUAAGCUUCAUGAGAAAUUGUGCUGCCAUAGAGAAUUUAAGAUUGGUUUUCCAACUGCUGUACUUACUAGCUGACUGCUCGGAGCCUUGGAGGCUUGGACAGAGCUCUCCUUUUACAGGGCACAUGGUCAAUCAGAAAGGCAUAAGUUUAUCUGGAGUUUUAAACUUCGCUUGCCUGGUAUUCAGAAGCUUUAUGUAAUUAAGAUGAGCCGGAAUUUUCCAUGGUCAAGCUUCUUGUUUUGAGGACAUUUGUAUUGAAUUGCCAUACACAUUAUGGACAGAUGAUUUGCCAAGACUGUUGUGGACGAAUUGUUCCUCUUGUUUCAUGGCUUACAAAUUACAUUGCCCAACUGUAAGUAUCACUCUAACAAGUCCAUACCCAUUCCAUUUAGACAUGCAGGUAUGUGACCACAUCCUCCUAGGUUAAUAGGGAAAUUAGUUCACUUUUUUCUCUUUAUUCUAAAAUGGUUGGCUCUAUUCCCUGCCUAUCCAAACAUGGUCUUCCAGGGAUACAGCUGGCGCCCUAUUAAACUGCAAACUGGUUGAUGAUGUGGAUAGCAGACUGCUAGAUGGAGAUAAUAUCCCUCUAUAUUCGCGUAUAUUGUAGUAGUUUUCAGUCUCAAGAAGGCUAGUAUAUCAAAUGAAGGCACACAAAUUUCGAUAUACAGAUUAUGAAGGCACUGCUGACUGGCUGGUAGGUGAAGACUCGGGACAAACUAAGAAUAUAUCCUUGCGGCUAUACAAGUGUGUCUAUGUGUCCUUGGUGUGUACUAGGAGGCGCAUAAGCUUAUGGUAUGUUGUAUGUGUGCAUGGUGCACGUAUUUAUCGAAAUCUCAAUCUUAGGAAGGCUAGUAAAUCAAAUGAGCUGAAGCUAGAACACGAAUUUCGGCAUACAAAUUAUGAAAAGACACCGGUGACUGGCUGCCUGAUUGGUGAAGAUUUGGGAGAAACUAAGGGUGCAUUUCGUUAUACAGCAACAAAUUGUUAGAUCAUAAAGCUUUGCGUAAACAUCAUGGAUUCACUUACUCUAGAAUCAAGCACCUCGUAACAACGGAAGCGUGAGAUGUACCUAUGUUGGAUGAGACCAUCUUGAUGAUUGGUGAGAUGUAGUCGUUGCCGUGCGUGAUCGUGGGUGUGAGACAUUUGACGUAGGUGUGGCUGGCAUGAUAUCUUCGGAACAAAACUACAGUGCACCCUUUAAAUCGGUCUAGGGUUUUUGGCAUAUGAGGGUGUGCAUUAGCUAUGUGAGAUCGAUUAAACCCAUGAGCCUCGACGUUCCCCUUUUAUUAUUGCGCUACGUGGA